AAUGUGGUGCAUGCUCAUAUAUGUGCCGAGAAAACCCUUUCUACGAAAGACGGUGCAAAGAGAAGUGGAGGCAAAACCUACUUUAUAACUAAUAUGGAGCCAGUGAAUAUGUGGGACUUUAUUUACAUGGUUUUGGAAGAACUUGGAUACAAAAGCCGUUUCAGACUAAGAAUACCUUUAUGCCUUCUGGAGCCAAUAACAUUUGUGGUAAACUGGAGCUAUAAUAAUAUAUUCUCGCACUAUGGAAUGCGUUAACCUGGCAUGCUAACAUCCACAAGAAUUAAGUAUGCGACCCUCAAUAGAACAUUCAAGUGCAACAAUGCUGUUGAACAACUUGGUUACAAAGCAAUAGUCUCACUCAAGGUUGUUACUUUAAUUUUUCUUUGUUCAAUUUCUAUACUUAG